rnacentral:lncRNA from 1 species
AGGGAAGGGGCGGCAGCGAGCUCGCCAGGCGGCCAGGAACCCGGGUGGGGCCGGGACCGAGGCGGUGGCUGGCCAGCGGAGCUCAGGCCGGGCGCGGCGCGCCGGGUGAAGGCGGCAAGGCGGCAAGGCCCCGGCCGAGGCCGGCGGAGCCGCGCAGCUGCGGCCGGCUGACGUGAGCGGCGUGCGGGUCCCGGCCGGCAGCGCGCUGGCGGCCAUGGCGGUGGCGCUGGCGGGCCGCGGGGCGCGCGGCGGCAGGGGCCGGCCCCCGGGCGGGCGGGCGGAGGGGGCGGGGCCGGGGCGCCGGGCGGCCCGCGCGACAGCGGCGGCGAAGACGACGGAGACGGGGGGCGCUGGGGCUGAUGACAGCGGCCGGGCCCGGGGCGGCGCCGUCCCCGCGGCGGUGCGACAGCGACCCGGCCUCCCCCGGAGCGCAGUCCCCAAAGGCUGGCUUCAAACCCUGUAUCUACCUCCCGAGUGUUGGGAUUACAGAUGUGUACCACCAUGCUGGGUAUAUUCAGUGCUGGAGAUUGAGCCCGCAGCUUCAUGACUGCCAGAAAAACAGUAAUAGAAAGCAAGAGAUCUGAAGUUCUGUGUUCAUCCAUGAGGAUUCUCACACUCACGUCGCCGAGGGCUCGCUCCAGACAGGAAGCUAGUUUCAUCACGCCGAGGGAGACGGCAGCAGGCUGCGAGCUUUGCAAGGCAUCAAGUAUCUCAAGAAACAACUAUUCAGAGGAAGACACACACUCGAGCUCAGAUUCAGUGAAAGAUGUUUCUCAAAGCAACAAUAAUGUUUAUUCAAUUACUAUUUCCGCACUCAAGCCUCUUAAGAUUUGAAGGUUUAAAACUUUCGGAAUAAAAAGAGUUUAUAUUGGAAAUACUAUAAUAAAGGAAAUUAUCUAACA